rnacentral:misc_RNA from 1 species
AAACACAGUGGCUAUUGCUGCAUUUAAAAUACACUUCACAUCUACGGCAGUACCUUAGCCCCUUCUGAUAUGGAUUUUGCACCCUACCUCCAUCUGGGACUAAUCUAACGCACAGGUUCUU